AUCCUGGCUCAGGAUGAACGCUAGCGGCAGGCUUAACACAUGCAAGUCGAGGGGUAGAGGUUGCUUGCAACCUUGAGACCGGCGCACGGGUGCGUAACGCGUAUGCAACCUACCUUUACAGAGGGAUAGCCCAGAGAAAUUUGGAUUAAUACCUCAUGGUAUAUAUCAUUCGCAUGUUUGGUAUAUUAAAGUUCCAACGGUAAAAGAUGGGGCAUGCGUCCUAUUAGCUAGAUGGUAAGGUAACGGCUUACCAUGGCAACGAUAGGUAGGGGUCCUGAGAGGGAGAUCCCCCACACUGGUACUGAGACACGGACCAGACUCCUACGGGAGGCAGCAGUGAGGAAUAUUGGACAAUGGGCGCAAGCCUGAUCCAGCCAUGCCGCGUGCAGGAAGAAGCAUCUAUGGUGUGUAAACUGCUUUUGUACGGGAAGAAACACUCCUUCGUGAAGGAGCUUGACGGUACCGUAAGAAUAAGGAUCGGCUAACUCCGUG
rnacentral:rRNA from 1 species